GAUGAACGCUGGCGGCGUGCCUAAUACAUGCAAGUCGAGCGAACAGACGAGGAGCUUGCUCCUCUGACGUUAGCGGCGGACGGGUGAGUAACACGUGGAUAACCUACCUAUAAGACUGGGAUAACUUCGGGAAACCGGAGCUAAUACCGGAUAAUAUAUUGAACCGCAUGGUUCAAUAGUGAAAGACGGUCUUGCUGUCACUUAUAGAUGGAUCCGCGCUGCAUUAGCUAGUUGGUAAGGUAACGGCUUACCAAGGCAACGAUGCGUAGCCGACCUGAGAGGGUGAUCGGCCACACUGGAACUGAGACACGGUCCAGACUCCUACGGGAGGCAGCAGUAGGGAAUCUUCCGCAAUGGGCGAAAGCCUGACGGAGCAACGCCGCGUGAGUGAUGAAGGUCUUCGGAUCGUAAAACUCUGUUAUUAGGGAAGAACAUAUGUGUAAGUAACUAUGCACGUCUUGACGGUACCUAAUCAGAAAGCCACGGCUAACUACGUG
rnacentral:rRNA from 1 species